rnacentral:misc_RNA from 1 species
GCGUCAUUAUCACCAAUCAAGUCCGGCUUGCUGUUGGAUCCGGCCGCGUCCGCGGCCGAUCCCAAAGAUAAUGACGGCGUUACUUGGACCCCAGAUGCAACGAGCUUUAUUAGCACGCGUCUGGUUGGACCUCGUAACCCGGUCUUACCCAUUUUUCUAAGGUUGACCUCGGAUCAGGUAGGAAUACCCGCUGAACUUAA